rnacentral:rRNA from 1 species
UACGUAGGGGGCAAGCGUUGUCCGGAUUUAUUGGGCGUAAAGAGCGUGUAGGCGGCCAUGUAGGUCCGUUGUGAAAACUCGAGGCUCAACCUCGAGACGCCGAUGGAAACCAUGUGGCUAGAGUCCGGAAGAGGAGAGUGGAAUUCCUGGCGUAGCGGUGAAAUGCGCAGAUAUCGUAAGGAAGACCAGUGGCGAAGGCGGGUCUCUGGACAGUUCCUGACGCUGAGGCACGAAGGUCAGGGGAGCAAACGGG